rnacentral:rRNA from 1 species
GAUGAACGCUGACAGAAUGCUUAACACAUGCAAGUUGAUGGGGAAGUGGUGCUUGCACCAUGGUAACCAUGGCGGACGGGUGGGUAACGCGUAAGGAACUUACCUGCGGGACCGGGAUAACAGCAGGAAACUGCUGACAAGACCGGAUAAGGUCAUUAAGCUGCAUAGCUUAGUGAUGAAAGGAGACGCCUGCGGAGAGCCUUGCGUCCUAUUAGCUAGUUGGAGGGGUAACGGCCCACCAAGGCGAAGAUAGGUAGCCGGCCUGAGAGGGUGGACGGCCACAAGGGGACUGAGAUACGGCCCUUACUCCUACGGGAGGCAGCAGUGGGGAAUAUUGGACAAUGGGGGCAACCCUGAUCCAGCAAUUCUGUGUGCACGAAGACGGUUUUCGGAUUGUAAAGUGCUUUCAGCAGGGAAGAAGGAAGUGACGGUACCUGCAGAAGAAGCGACGGCUAAAUACGUG